rnacentral:lncRNA from 1 species
CCACGCGUUGACUGCCGUGUGUGACUCCAGUCGGCGUCUCAACAGUCUCCGGUGUCCACGCGUUGACUGCCGUGUGUGACUCCAGUCGGCGUCUCAACAGUCUCCGGUGUCCACGCGUUGACUGCCGUGUGUGACUCCAGUCGGCGUCUCAACAGUCUCCGGUGUCCACGCGUUGACUGCCGUGUGUGACUCCAGUCGGCGUCUCAACAGUCUCCGGUGUCCAUGCGUUGACUGCCAUGUAUGACUCCAGUGGUCUUUCUAUUUUCUCAUCAAAUUGAGACUUUGGGGAAACUACACAGCAGCAAACCAGGAUAUA